AGCUUUGCGCAGUGGGAGUAUCAUAAUCAAUGAGGUUUAUCUGAAGCAUGAUUAUUGCUAAUAGAAAAGUUCACUGGAAGAACUUACUGUAGUGACAAAAUUAGUUACUUGAAGCUGUUUUAAACCA
rnacentral:snRNA from 1 species